rnacentral:tRNA from 1 species
GUGGUAGUAGCUCAGUUGGUUAGAGCGUUGGAUUGUGGCUCCGAAGGUCGCGGGUUCGAGUCCCGUCUAUCACC